AUUAAUACUUUAUUAAUAUUCCACCAUUAUAAUUAUUACUAAUACAUAAUGAAAAUAUUUAAAUUCAAAUACCUGCAUUAGAAUAUGCAUGCAAGAAAGUGAAAAUGAUAAAAAAAAACAAAGAAAGUAGUAUUUUGAAAGAGAUUUAUUUUAAAAGGUACACUACUACAUAACUGGGCUAUUGCAACAAUAUGGUUGCAACACUUUUUUUUGUGUUGCAUUAUUUAACAAAUAGUAUAAAGUUGCAACACUUUUAAUCGAAACGUUGCAUAUUACAAUCUAAUGCAACAUUUUAAGCAACGUUUUAGCCAAAGUGUUGCAUGCUACUGAUUUAAGCAACGUUUACACGCAACACUUUAUGAAAAACGUUGCAUUGUAGGAAAUAAAACAAAAAAAAAAAAAAAAGAAGCGGGCUAUCCUAAAGUAAAGCCACGUCCCCAAUUUUCCCCCUAAACAAAUUCAGUCAUCCUUUCAAAAAGAAAAACAUAAACUUCAUUCCUCAACCAGUGAAGAUUUCUCAAACAACCGCCAUUGAAGAUUUCUCGAACAUCCGCCAUUGAAGAUUUCUCAAAAAUGAACAAAACAACUUAUUCAACUGCCAUUGUUGCAAUUUCUUAGUUUCUUUCAAACUUCCGAGAAGAUUAGUUAGGAAAGGAAAAAGGCAUUUUGGCGAAUUUUGAGCUAGGGUUCACGAAAUUUGGGGGAAUUUUCAGCAAGGGUUUCACGAAAUUUGGGCGAAUUUUACCCUAAAAUUUGUACAAAGCUUUUCAAAGUCCGAAUUGGAAGCAUUUUGAUAUUUAUAUAUUUCUCGUUGAAUCAAGAAUGAAGAAUUGGCUUCUAUUUUGUGUUGAACAUUAUUUUUGGUUUAAAAACUUUUUAGCUAGCAAACUGGCUAGAUAAUCAUUUUGUAAUUUUGUACAGAAACUAGUACUUUUACAUAUUUGAUGUCGACUUCUGCUAUAAUAUAUGACUUUUUCAAA